AUUGAACGCUGGCGGCAGGCCUAACACAUGCAAGUCGAACGGAGUGGAGGACGGGUGAGUAAUGCCUUGGAAUCUGCCUGGUCUUGGGGGCUAACGUCCGGAAACGGUGGCUACUACCGCUUACUACCCGAUGCGCCUUGGUCGGAUUAGGUAGUUGGUGGGGUAAAGGCCUACCAAGGCGACGAUCCGUAACUGGUCUGAGAGGAUGAUCAGGCACACGGGAACGGAGACACGGGCCAGACUCCUACGGGAGGCAGCAGGGGGGAAUAUUGGACAAUGGGCGAAAGCCUGAUCCAGCCAUGCCGCGUGUGUGAAGAAGGUCUUCGGAUUGUAAAGCACUUUAAGUUGGGAGGCGUUACCAACAGAAUAAGCACCGGCUAACUUCGUGCCAGCAGCCGCGGUAAUAC
rnacentral:rRNA from 1 species